AUUGAGUGAUCAGCUGACUUUUAAAAUCAUUAAAAAUUACAAAUGUCAAAAUACGGUUUAGUGACAGUAAAAGUAGUUUAAAAAUAUUUUGGGGGCGGAUUUUGCUUCAUUUUAAAUAUUAGUCAAAUUAUUUCGUAUGUGUAUUAUGUGAUUCUAAAUAUGGUGACGAAUUAAGCAUUUGCUUCUAAUCUCAGUGUAUGGUCAAGAAUUGGUGUCUUCUUCAGUCGCCUAGAUAAUAUCAAACAUGUCUCAGAGGAUGUUAAAUACUAUACAACAAUGGAUCCAUCCUAAGGACGAUGAUAGCAAUGUCAUCUCAGCAACUUCACAUAUAAUCACCAUAACACUAAUAAGCAUGUCACUCGUUGAUCUGACUUGGUUUUCAAUCAAUGGAAAUGCUUGUGUACCUUAUCUGACUCUGGGGGAGUUUUUCUGGUUUGGUUGGAAUGACGAUAUUGACUAUACCGAUUAUGAUUGUGUCAACUCAAAAAUUGUAAACAUGAUGAGAAUUACAAUUUUAUUGUGUUUUAUGACAAUAAUAUUUGCUCUCAUGGGUUUCUUCCUGGAAAUUAUUGGACCAAAACACUUGUUGUACAAAUCUCUCAGAAAAUAUGCCAUAAUGGCCACUUGUAGUGUAAUUUGGAUAAUGGUUAUCAUUGCACUUUCAUACUACAUAGUAGUACUUCUGGAAGACUCCUUAGCUAAGGUUUACCCCAAAGUCGUCUCAUCUGUAACAUAUGGAAUAGGAUUCUACCUUAUAGUUGCUUCAGGUGGUGUCACUUGCUGUGGUAUUGUCUAUACACUUCUUCCCAUUCGAACGUCCACUUACUUCAGAGAUGAUGACAGAUGUCUUUUAGAUGCAUUUGAUGACAAUUUGGACACUUUCCAUAGCCCCACACCUCCUCCUCCGUACUGCUUACCGCCUCCUCCGUAUACUCCUUGAUGGGGAUUUACAGUUGUGUUAUGUUAAGUACCAAAGUUUAGGUUAGGAAGAGGUCAAAUUCAAAUCAACAUCAAACUAUAACAGCACAAUAGCUGUGUUGACUCAGUGAAAUGCCCAGGAUUCACUCAAGAUAUUUCAAAGUUUUUUUGUUAUUCAAAUUAUUCAGUAUACAAUAAUUUGUUAUUGUUCUUUCAUUCUAUUGUACCACUUUAUGUUCAUAUAGAAUUCUAGAGUGUAUAUUUUGCUAAUACAGAGAAAUAUAAUAUAUGUAUAUUUAGCUUAUGAAGAAAUGUAAAGAAAUAAUCGUGAUAGAUGGUUAUAAUCUAGUCCUUAUUGAAUAAACAUAUGAGAAACGUUCAUAUUACCUAUUGCCAGAAA
rnacentral:misc_RNA from 1 species